rnacentral:misc_RNA from 1 species
GUGUAAAAGAGACAGGUGAGUCAUCGAAUCUUUGAACGCACAUUGCGCCCGCCAGUAUUCUGGCGGGCAUGCCUGUUCGAGCGUCAUUUCAACCAUCAAGCCCCCGGCUUGUGUUGGGGACCUGCGGCUGCCGCAGGCCCUGAAAAGCAGUGGCGGGCUCGCUGUCACACCGAGCGUAGUAGAUUUCAUCUCGCUCUGGGCGUGCUGCGGGUUCCGGCCGUUAAACCACCUUAUAACCCAAGGUUGACCUCGGAUCAGGUAGGAAGACCCGCUGAACUUAAGCAUAUCAAUAAGCGGAGG